AUACGUAGGGGGCAAGCGUUAUCCGGAUUUACUGGGUGUAAAGGGAGCGUAGACGGUAAAGCAAGUCUGAAGUGAAAGCUCGGGGCUCAACCCCGGAACUGCUUUGGAAACUGUUUUACUGGAGUGCAGGAGAGGUAAGCGGAAUUUCUAGUGUAGCGGUGAAAUGCGUAGAUAUUAGGAGGAACGCCAGAGGCGAAGGCGGCUUACUGGACUGUAACUGACGUUGAAGCUCGAAGGCGUGGGGAGCAAACAGGAUUAGAUACCCUGGUAGUCCACGCGGUAAACGAUGAUCACUAGGUGUCGGCGGCCAUAGGCGGUCGGUGCCGCAGCAAACGCAAUAAGUGAUCCACCUGGGGAGUACGUUCGCAAGAAUGAAACUCAAAUGAAUUGACGGGG
rnacentral:rRNA from 1 species